CAGUAGCCACGGGAAUACGUAGGUGGCAAGCGUUGUCCGGAAUUAUUGGGCGUAAAGGGCUCGCAGGCGGUUUCUUAAGUCUGAUGUGAAAGCCCCCGGCUCAACCGGGGAGGGUCAUUAGAAACUGGGAAACUUGAGUGCAGAAGAGGAGAGUGGAAUUCCACGUGUAGCGGUGAAAUGCGUAGAGAUGUGGAGGAACACCAGUGGCGAAGGCGACUCUCUGGUCUGUAACUGACGCUGAGGAGCGAAAGCGUGGGGAGCGAACAGGAUUAGAUACCCCGGUAGUCCCUGUCUCUUAUAC
rnacentral:rRNA from 1 species